GGGGAUGUGGCUCUGUGGUAGAGCACUUGCCUCACGUGCAUGAGGCCCUGGGUUCAAUCCCCAGCACCACCA
rnacentral:tRNA from 1 species